GGGAGGUUGACCUUUCAAAGAUCAUUAUGAAGAGAAAUGACGGAGUCUGCAAGGGUACACUAACACAGUAUUAUGGCCUUGGGUCAGAAACACGAAGAACGUCGACAUGGGUUCCAGGAACUUAUGGGAUAGAGAUUGGAAAAUCCGAGGAUUUUCCAGAUGGAUACGAAGAGAAGUGGAUGCUUAAUGUACAUGCGAUAGACACCCGAGGUGCAGAGGACCAGUUGGGGUGCACAGAAUGCAAGUGUAGCCUCUAUAAUGUGACCACAGAUAAUAAAGGGCAUCCUCUAGGAAAUGAUUAUAUCGGAGGUUUGUAUUGUUGCAAUGAUGGGACACAAUGUCAGGUAAAACAAGGGUUUAAUGGUGUUGGAAGGAAGCUCUACUUGAGGUACACAGUCCGGUGGGCGGUCUGGGAUGAGAGCAUUGUACCUGUCAAAAUCUAUAUAUUGGAUGUCACUGAUACAAAGAGACGCAUAAAUGAUUCGGCUGAUGGAAAUGUUCGAACUUGCAAGGUGGAAUAUGAAGUCAAGCCAUGCAGUCUUGAAGGUAGCGGAAAUGGUGAGUGUGUUGAUGUUAAGAAGACCGAAGU
rnacentral:misc_RNA from 1 species